GUGCCAGCAGCCGCGGUAAUACGUAGGGUGCGAGCGUUAAUCGGAAUUACUGGGCGUAAAGCGUGCGCAGGCGGUUUUGUAAGCCAGAUGUGAAAGCCCCGGGCUCAACCUGGGAAUGGCAUUUGGGACUGCAAGGCUGGAGUUUGGCAGAGGAGACUGGAAUUCCUGGUGUAGCAGUGAAAUGCGUAGAUAUCAGGAGGAAUACCGAUGGCGAAGGCAGGUCUCUGGGCUAUAACUGACGCUCAUGCACGAAAGCGUGGGGAGCAAACAGGAUUAGAUACCCUGGUAGUCC
rnacentral:rRNA from 1 species